AUUUCAUAAUUGUGUACUAUAGUGAUUCAAAAUGGCGCUAGCAUUUGGCAGUUUUCAUAUAAACAAAGGGUAGUACAAUCUUGAGAAGUGACUGUAAGUGUCCUCACUGUAAAGUGAGGAUAAAAAUAGCACCUAACCCUUAGGUGUGAGAUUACUUUGUGAUAAUGGAAUGGACUUCCCAGCCUGGACCUUGGGACCCAGAUUUGUAUAAUGAUCUCCAUGAUCUCUGCAUUAUUCAUGUGACCCCUGUGGCUGAAGACAAAAAAGCACAUCAUCACACCAGUUUUGAAGAGACCUUAAUAGUAAAAUAACUUCUUCAUACUAGUUUAACAUGUUUUAUCUGUGUAGGUUGUUCUAUACUUUCAACAAAUACUUUUUCCCUGUUUAAAUUAUUGCUGAAUGAUAAUCGGAUUUGGCAGAAAGUCCUUGUUAUUACAAUGUCCAGUGACUAAUUUAAGUGUCUUUAGAGAAUGUCCCAUGAGAAGAGAAGUGAAAGCACCACCUGUGCCCUGUUGGUGUUGGUUUGUAAGGUUUCCUUCUAGGCUGAAAAGAUGGGCUCACAUGGGGAGAAGAAAAUUUACACAGAAGUUAUAAUUUUAUGCUUUUCUGUCACUCUUCAUAAUCAGCUGGUUUGUAUCAAUAGUAUGCAUUUUCAAAUAGCCUCCUUUGCUUCAUUGUUUCAAAACAUUAAUGCAAUGAGCUGUCCUCUAAUAUAUUUAUAUAAUUAAUUGUCAAUCAUUAACCCAUAAUUAAUGCAAUGUGUGUGCAUUACUCAGUUUCUUUAUGGUUCCCCCCCAUGUUUUCUUGGAUUAAGUUUGAAUCAGAUUAAUUUCAGGAAUAUGGGGAAGAGUUCUCUCUAAAAUGGGUAUGCUUUGUCUUUCUCUGUUUCAUGCAUUUGAACCCAGAACAAGUCAUUUCUCUCUCUUGGGUUCUGCUUUCCUUAGGGCCUCUUUGCAUUUGCCAGUAAUAUUUUUUGUUGCCUGUGUACUUUUCAGACUUCUCUUCCAUAGUUAAGGAUACCAUAAUUAUAAAGGAAAAAUGUAUGCAUAGAUUGAUAGCUAAAUAGAUGGAUGGAGAAACAAGCCAAAGAAUGAACAAACCAACGAUAUUUCCCACUGAAUUUAUAACCAGAGUCCAUCUCUGGCAUCUAUAUAUUUAUCCACACUGUCUACUUCUCUCUGUCACCAUUCCCAUUCAGAGGUAUUUAAAAUGUCUGUAGUGUAUACUGUAUUAUGCUAAUAUAUUUUUUCUUUUGUUUUUCAAAGAGGACCGACAAUAACUUUAUUGAAUGUUUGUCUCUGAAAAAACUAAUAUUUUUAUACGGAUUUUUAAAAAUUAGCAACAAUGAUCUAAAGCUGAAAUGUGUCAUUUUUACUGGGGAGGGGAAGCUUCUUUGUGUCAACUUUCAGAUACCAUCCUGAGCUAAAUUUUUAAUGUGUUUUGCAUUGAAAUUUUUCUUUUUUGGAGAAGUGUCAUCAGAACACAUUUUAGAGCAAAAUAGAAGACUUUUCUAAAAGUG